GAUGAACGCUAGCUACAGGCUUAACACAUGCAAGUCGAGGGGAAACGAUAUUGGAAGCUUGCUUCCGAUAGGCGUCGACCGGCGCACGGGUGAGUAACGCGUAUCCAACCUGCCCACCACUUGGGGAUGACCUUGCGAAAGUAAGACUAAUACCCAAUGAUAUCUCUAGAAGACAUCUGAAGGAGAUUAAAGAUUCAUCGGUGAUGGAUGGGGAUGCGUCUUAUUAGCUUGUUGGCGGGGUAACGGCCCACCAAGGCGACGAUCAGUAGGGGUUCGGAGAGGAAGGUCCCCCACAUUGGAACUGAGACACGGUCCAAACUCCUACGGGAGGCAGCAGUGAGGAAUAUUGGUCAAUGGGCGAGAGCCUGAACCAGCCAAGUAGCGUGCAGGAUGACGGCCCUAUGGGUUGUAAACUGCUUCUAUAAGGGAAUAAAGCGAGCCUCGUGAGACUUUUUGCAUGUACCUUAUGAAUAAGGACCGGCUAAUUCCGUGCCAGCAGCCGCCGUAA
rnacentral:rRNA from 1 species